AGAGCGAACGCUGGCGGCAGGCCUAACACAUGCAAGUCGAACGAACUCUUCGGAGUUAGUGGCGGACGGGUGAGUAACACGUGGGAACGUGCCUUUAGGUUCGGAAUAACUCAGGGAAACUUGUGCUAAUACCGAAUGUGCCCUUCGGGGAAAGAUUUAUCGCCUUUAGAGCGGCCCGCGUCUGAUUAGCUUGUUGGUGGGUAAUGGCCCACCAAGGCUACGAUCAGUAGCUGGUCUGAGAGGAUGACCAGCCACAUUGGGACUGAGACACGGCCCAACUCCUACGGGAGCAGCAGUGGGAAUCUGCNCAAUGGGACG
rnacentral:rRNA from 1 species